AUGAAUAAAGUAAAGUUUUCCAGGGUGUUUAAACAUACAGCUGAGUUAAUUCCACAUUCAGAGUUUCUUUUUUUUUUUUUUUUUUUUUUUUUUUUUAGUUUCAACUCAGCUGAACUGUUACUCAAAGGAUGGAUAUAUUUGUGUUCAUAUACUGGUCGUUUUGGAAAAGUAUGUUACAUUAAGGAAGCAAUCUUCAUUUUCUGUUGUUUUUCGUUGGAGAAGAACUUUCCAUGUAGGGAGGUAGGUGACAAGCACACAGAGCUCGCUGCUAAACUACUGCAACCAGAAAGGCUGUGGUAAAUGAAUGACGUUUGAGCGAGGUGUGAAAUGUGAAGGUACAAAAUUAACUGGUAAGAUAAUUACUGUUCUAAUUCUGCAUAAACAAGCGUUUUGAAAAUCAUUAAUAGUUCAGGGAAAUAAUGUUAGUGAUUAAAUAAGGUGGUUUGCAUCACUGAGCACAACUAAGCUGCUUUAAUUACAUUUGAAAGCAAGG
rnacentral:lncRNA from 1 species